rnacentral:rRNA from 1 species
CUGCAGUCGUGGGGCAGCGGGGGUAGCAAUACCCGCCGGCGACCGGCAAACGGGUGCGGAACACGUACGCAACCUUCCUUUAACUGGAGAAUAGCCCCUCGAAAGAGGGAUUAAUACUCCGUAACAUAUACAUGUGGCAUCACAAGUAUAUUAUAGCUCCGGCGGUUAAAGAUGGGCGUGCGCCUGAUUAGAUAGUUGGCGGGGUAACGGCCCACCAAGUCUGCGAUCAGUAACUGGUGUGAGAGCACGACCAGUCACACGGGCACUGAGACACGGGCCCGACUCCUACGGGAGGCAGCAGUAAGGAAUAUUGGUCAAUGGACGCAAGUCUGAACCAGCCAUGCCGCGUGGAGGAUUAAGGCCCUCUGGGUUGUAAACUCCUUUUAUCUGGGAAGAAAUGCAUUUUUUCUAAAGUGCUUGACGGUACCAGAGGAAUAAGCACCGGCUAACUCCGUGCUAGCAGCCGCGGUAAUACGGAGGGUGCAAGCGUUAUCCGGAUUCACUGGGUUUAAAGGGUGCGUAGGCGGGCAGGUAAGUCCGUGGUGAAAUCUCUGAGCUUAACUCAGAAACUGCCAUGGAUACUAUUUGUCUUGAAUAUUGUGGAGGUAAGCGGAAUAUGUCAUGUAGCGGUGAAAUGCUUAGAUAUGACAUAGAACACCAAUUGCGAAGGCAGCUUACUACACAGUUAUUGACGCUGAGGCACGAAAGCGUGGGGAUCAAACAGGAUUAGAUACCCUGGUAGUCCACGCCCUAAACGAUGAUUACUCGACAUCAGCGAUACACUGUUGGUGUCUGAGCGAAAGCAUUAAGUAAUCCACCUGGGAAGUACGAUCGCAAGAUUGAAACUCAA